CGUCGGCUGUCAGCGGACUGCUC
rnacentral:snRNA from 1 species